AGCAGACCUAGCCUGGCCGGCCUCUCGGCCAGCUGAGUUAAGAGACAUCAGAGGAUUCCUUUUUCUUCUCCUUUCUUUCUUUUCUUUUUUCUUUUUUUCUCUCCGCGAAUGUGGGAUUGUUUACGUUCUGUUCCCCACUCUCCUCCCUCGUCCUGUUCCACUCCUCUUUUCCAUGUAUUUUCUCCAUUAGAUGCACAAACCGCCUCCCUGAAUUUUACAUUAUGCAUUUUCCUGUACAUCUUUUGGCUUAUCUGUUGGAGUGUAGAGCUAAGAGUAUUUUAUGUGUGGUAUGUACAUUGUGUAUGGACUCAAUGGGCUUAUUGUGGAGCUAUUAAAUUUAAAAAAAAUACAUUUUACUGUGCACAUUAAUCUGUUGCUCAGACUCUGACUUUUGCAAAAUGUUGUGCAAUUCCUUCGACUGUGGCAAAUUCUUUGAUUACAAGUGCUUGCAAAAAUCACCCACUCUCAACUUUUCCCCCUUGUUGCUUUGAAGUUGGGUAAAUAUGACAAUUUUUAUUGGUCUCAAUUAUUGAAACUUGAUCUAAGGACUCUAUGGAAGAAGGAGGCUGUUUGCCUUUUUCUUGCCUUCAGUUCCAGUGACUUUUUAAAGAGGGUUUGUUAAGUACCUUUGAAGAAUAUGACAUACGGUGAUCGCUUGGCUGUGAUGCAAAUUACAGAGCAUAAAUUCACUUUGGAAUUAAAAAAAAAAAGAUUCAAGCCCUUUCAGUGGGGACACGUGAGGAUUUAUUACGUUUUUUUAAAAAAUGACUUUUUUCCUCCCUACUUUGGGCGAAUGGCUAGUUCCAGACCAACUUAUUUGGAGGUCUUCGGAAAGAAGCUUGGGAAAUGGGAGAGGGUAGAAGAUUGAUCACAAUCUGCAUAAUCGAUAAGGCAGCGUGCUGCAAUCUUGUACCUACAUUUACUGUAAAUUUCUACAAUAUCUGCAGCGUGGGGCUCCAGUGCCUGGCUUGGCUUCUUAGGGCGGAUUUAGAGGCAGUACAAGCAGAAUUUACCACCCAGCCCUCCGGAGUAACAUAGAGGAAGUCCACUGGCUCAUUUUAAAACUCCUUCGUUUUACGCUACAUUUUUUAAAAAAAAUUUAUUGGCGAAUCGGUUUACGUGUGGAGGUUUCAGGUACUGGACCCCCAAAUGUAGGUAUCCUAUAGGUUGAAGGGAGUGGAAAGUAUUGGAGGGGGUCAGAGGACGAGAAUUCACUUAUUGAAUUACCACGUUCAGGGGCCCUCUGCUCUUCUUAUAAUGUGCAGUGUCCUUAACUGGUGCAAGUAAUUUACAGAGGAAUACAGGAGAGAGUAAUACACCAGAGGUUGUAGCAGUGUCAAAAGUAAGGAUUGCUGUGUGUGUGCAUGAGAGAGAGAGAGAUAAUACAGACACUUAUCUUAUAGUCAGGGUGGAAAGCUUGGUGGUAGGUGAAUCCAUAUUUGGAGAUGAUUUCGAAAUAGUCUAGCAAAUGGUGCACGAACAGGAUUUCAUAAAAAGUGUACACGGAGUCAGUUUUGGAAGGAUUGAGAUUUGGGGAGAUGAGGUGUGGGCAGGAACUCACUCUAGGCCAGCAGCUUUCCUCUGUGUGUCUCUCCCUUCCCCCUCCCCGAGUUCUAGUUUUUAAUUACUUAAUGCUGAAACGCACAGGGCUUAUAUAAAUAUUUGCAAAUGCUCUUUCCUAUUGAUUUCUCUGAAUAAACUGCCCUGCUCGGGUCCAGAGAGGAGGCAAUUCAGAUCUGUGGACUUUUUAAACAUACAAAGUCUCUGGAGGAGGGUUGGCCUGUGCACGCGUGUGUUUGUGGGUAGAGUUGUAGACGUGAAGAUUUUGGGGGGCUGCAAAGAGAGUUCAGGCUCUCUGGGCUGGAGCUGGCCCCAAGGCCUGGCAGCUCUGAGACAGGCGUGUGAGUGUGUGUGUAUGUAAAUUUGUGUCCAUGUAUAUAUACUGUGUGGGUGUCUACACUGGGGGAGUCCGAAUGCAUAUGCACUUAUACCCCCCAACCCCCCAUUAAGUAUGGAGCAGUUUUCCAGGGUUCUGUAACUGUCUUCUCCUCAGGGUCACAUUGAGUUCGAAUCUGACCCAAGGUGCAGGAAUCCUGCAAUGGGGAAAUAAAAGAAUAUACAGAAUGGGGUCAGGUCAGCUGCUCAGAGGCCAAAACCCCUACAGCUGCUUUGAUUUUAUUUUUGUGUGUGUAUUUUAGGCUCCUCCUGCCAUGUUACAAAUUGGGCCUCCCCCUCUCAGGUGCUUGCUUGGUAGCUUAAAGGCACCCGAGCCUCUACCUGAAUAGAUGUCUGCUCCCAGCAAGAACAGAAAACCCAAGGUACCAAAUCCCAAACAAAACAAGGGAGGAGGGGGAGGAAAAAAACCCCUGUUGGGUUCAGGCAAAUAAGGUUGGGUCUCCAGAUCCGAUUACAAAGCAGCUUUGAAUAUGCAAGACAGCACACAGGACCAGUUAUUCCAGUUACAACAAACUAUUAAAAAAAGAGAGAGAGAAAAGAAAAGGCAUGUUUAGGUCGUAAUUUGUUCGUACAAGGAAAAGAAUCCCAUAUAAAGCUGCCUUUUUCUCCCCCCCUCCCUUUGCUGGCUUCACACAGAAUUCACUCACCCUUUUCCGAUUUGUCUACUGUAUAGGUUCUUUUAUUAAAAUCUUUGGGUUUAGGAAGAUCGCUGCAAGCAACACAUUUUCUGUAUUUUUUUCCCUUUAUCUUAGAGGAGAGUUGGCAGGGGUUCUGUGGUUUGCAGUUACACAAUAUGUUAUCAUGUUUUUAAUCACUAAAUCAUUGCAGUGGUUAUAGAUUUACAGUCUUGGGGUAUUACAGAGAGGAGCAACGGCGGCUAUAUAUAUAUAUAUAUAUAUAUGCUUUUAAAUUACACCAAUGUAAACUGAGUAUAGCAGCUGUGAAUAUGGUUGACAGACUUUAUCCCCCAACCCCGCCCCCAGCCCCAGCAUCUUAGUUCUUUUUCCCCUCGUGAUUUUUUCCCCCAAGUUGUUCGUUUUGCUUAAAAUAAACGAUUUCCCCCUCUCCUGAAUUCCUUGUCUCUUCACCACCCUCCCCCCACACAAAAAUUUUUAUUUUUCUUUCAUUUCAGACCUGUAACCCCAGAUAAGGUAGAAUUCAAACUCUUGAAAUAUGACUUUGGAUCAGGGACUACAAGAAGAAGAAUUUUAAAAGUGGAUUUCCUAAGGAAUUCUCUUGGUUUUCGUACCGACCUCCUGUAUAGGGAUGGAGGGCUGGCUGCGAAUCAGGAGGCUGGGGGUUGGCCGAGGGGAGGGAAGCCAGGCUUGUGGCCCUUGCUUGCCUGGAACCUCCAGUGUCCUGUCAUCGUGAGCCCACUUUCAGCUUCUGUUUUUCAUAUGAUUAUGUAACAGAAUCCUUGGCAGCAUUAAAAAUUCAGUAUUACAAGCUGAUUGUAAUGCUGCCUCAUUAGACAGCGCUGUCUGGCCUUGUAUUAAGUGAAACACAGAGCAUGGCUUUCAGAUUAUAAACACCAAUAAAUAUUAAGGAUCCGCAGAGCGGGCGGGGGUGGGGGGGAGGAUAGUCUGCUGGGUUUUUGGCCCCUUCUGGUCUUCUGUCCCCCUCCCAUGUUCUUCCCUUCCUCUCCCUCUCCCCACCCCGCCCCCACCCACACCGUGGUAACUGUCAUUUAUUUUCUUGGGAUGCUGAUGUGUCGACCCUAGUGACAUUUUAGGAGGGCUUUUUAUAGAGUUAUCUUGUGUACACAAAAGGUUUGGAAGUUUGUUUUGUUUUGAUCUGCCAUAAACAGGCCCUUCACUUUGCUGAUGUCAUUUCCGUUCAUAUUUGAGUUGUUUAUUGUGUUUCUUCGCAGGCCCUUCUCGUCCCUACCCCCACCGUGCUUUUCAGCAAGGAGUCUGGGGCUGCCUGGGGAAGGGGGGGACGCGUUCCUCAGCUGCCAGGUCUGGGUUCAAAGGCUGAGGGUUGCGUGUCCCUGCCUCGUCCCAGGAAGAUGUUUCCCGCUUCGGAUCCGGUUAAACACCCUGACAUCCACUUGCCCUGGUAUUUUCAUGGCACGCAGUGAUUCAUCUCGGCUUCCUUUCUUUGAAGCACCCCCCACCCCCACACCCCCGCCUCUGGCCCCGCGCGCACACACACACACACACACUCGCACGGGCACACACACACACACACACACACACCUUGUCUGUCCACAUCUCCAUGCAACUCCCGCCCCCCACCAAAAAAACCCCCAACCUCCCAGUCUGGUAAUGAUGACUUUGAUUCAGUCACAAAUUGGAGGCUGGCUUUAGGGGCUUCAUGCUGUGAAGAAAAGAAAAUGUUUCCAGGCGUUACCCCACAGCAUCCCCCCCCCAGCUUCUGUCCUUACUCAGUUUUAAUUCCCUCCUUUUGCAUUUGUUUUCCUGCUGCUGCCUUUUCAUAGCCAUAAAGGUCAUUCUGAUGUUACUAAAAAUGACCGCAAUGUCCAGUCUCAUUUCCAUGUGAUCUAUAAUCGGAAUCCCCCCCCCAGGAAAAAAAAAAAAGUAGAGUGGGGAGAGGAAGGAGGAAAAACUGAGUGUGUAGGCCCCCAAGGCUUUCCUCUAAUAGGAUGAUGGGUUUUAGGUUAAAAAAAUAUUGUUUUGUUCUUUUAGAUUCAGAAAUAAUAGGGAGAGAGGGAAAAGCAGUCAUUAGGAAGUUCACUGAGCUGCUUUCCAAGCAAGACGGGUGAAAAAUGAACCUGCUCUGACACUUGGCUCCAUGUGAAAACCCCAGUAACCUCUCCCCCCUUCCGUGGCCCUGGCCUUUUGUUCCUGGAGAACGGAGCUAAGGUGCUUUUUCUCCCAGACCAAAGGCAGCAGGCAAGGAGUCCCCUUGUGUGCUCAUCGGCCUUUCGAUGGCCUUCUCAUGGUUAUUGUCAAUGCAGGCUCCCCCAAACAAUUGCUCCAGGGAGACACAAAAGCAAAAACAUUUGUCCUAUUUUUUGAACCUCUUUGUUUUAGCUUUCCCCCCCCCAUCCAUUCUUUAAAUUUCACAGUUUCUAUUUGUCUGCAGAGAGACAAACGGAACAGCAUGAAGCAAGCGCAUUUUACCGUAGGCCUCACUGGCGAUUGGAACGGCCUCAAUAGAAAUCCAGAUUCUCAAAACACUGGCUGACUUGGAGGAGAUGUGAAAUUUCAGCUCGGGGCUUUUAAGUGAGAUUAGCACAGAUUUCGAACCAAAAAUGCACUAAGAGGAAAAGAUAAGACAAUGGGAUUCUGGACUCAUUGGGGGCAAGUGUGAAAAGGGUCAUCUUUUGUUUAUCUCUGAGGAUCCUGCCCCAAGAAGCGGCCGCUUGAUAGAAAGGCAUUGCAAACCCAAAUGCAUUUCUUCAU
rnacentral:lncRNA from 1 species